AUGAGUCUUUUAUUUUGGAACUGCCGGGGGGCGGGGAACCGCCGGACAGUUCAUGAGGUCUUGGCCCUCUCAAAAGCCAAUUCCCCGAAGAUUGUCUUCCUCUGUGAAACUAGGCAAUCUUCAGUGAAAAUGGAAAAGCUUAAAUGGAGAUUGGGUAUGAAGGGAUUUAAAGGAAUUUGCAAUGACGGUCGCAGCAGAGGGCUAGCUCUAUAUUGGGAUGAAAGCCUCCAAGAAGCGAUCAUGGAUGCUUGUGCACGGUAUAUUGACGUGCAAGUGAUAGAUGCUAGUUGUGAUCUGUGUUGGCGAGCAACUUUUGUCUAUGGUGAACCACGUGUGGAGCAUCGUCAUCGCAUGUGGGAUCACCUUACGAAUCUACGGGCCAACUCACAGGUACCAUGGUUUGUUUGUGGUGAUUUUAAUGAGACCUUAUGGCAACAUGAACACUUUUCAAGGUCGAUGCGUGCAGAAAGUCAGAUGGAUGCUUUUCGUGAUUGUCUCAUGGUGUGUGAACUUGAGGACUUUAGGUUUUUCUGGUGUACCUUACACCUAUGA
rnacentral:rRNA from 1 species